rnacentral:rRNA from 1 species
CAGCAGCCACGGUAAUACAGAGGGUGCGAGCGUUAAUCGGAUUUACUGGGCGUAAAGCGUGCGUAGGCGGCUUCUUAAGUCGGAUGUGAAAUCCCUGAGCUUAACUUAGGAAUUGCAUUCGAUACUGGGAAGCUAGAGUAUGGGAGAGUAUGGUAGAAUUCCAGGUGUAGCGGUGAAAUGCGUAGAGAUCUGGAGGAAUACCGAUGGCGAAGGCAGCCAUCUGGCCUAAUACUGACGCUGAGGUACGAAAGCAUGGGGAGCAAACAGGAUUAGAUACCCGCGUAGUCCCUGUCUCUUAUAC